CCAGGCUGGAGUGCAGUGGCAUGAUCACAGCUCAGUGCAUCCUCAGUCUCCUGGACUCAAGCAAUCCUCCUGCCUCAGCCUCCUGAGUAGCUGGAACUACAGGUGCAUGCCACCACGCUGAGGAAGAGCAACAAUGAAGGAAAAGCAGUGACCAACCAAGACGACUGUCUAUAUAUAAGCCCUUAUUCUUGACUCCACUUCAGCAGUCCCCAAGGAGCUCUUAGGUGUCCUCAUGCUCUGGUACCCCCCGACAAAUAUUUCUAUCCUUCAGUCUAUCAUGUGUACUGUGUUAGUCUGUUCUCACAUUGCUAAUAAAGACAUACCUGAGACUGGGUAAUUUAUAAAGAAAUGAGGUUUAAUUGCCUCACAGUUCCACAUGGCUGGGAAGUACUGACAAUCAUUUUGGAAGGUGAAAUGAGAAGCAAAGUCACACCUUCUAUGGUGG
rnacentral:lncRNA from 1 species